ensembl:snRNA U6 U6 spliceosomal RNA
GUGCUCGCUUCAGCAGCACAUAUACUAAAGUUAGAACGAUACAGAGAUUAGCAUGGCCCCUGCACAAGGAUGACACGCAAAUUUGUAAAACGUUCCGUAUAUUU